rnacentral:misc_RNA from 1 species
GAUGAAGAACGUAGCGAAAUGCGAUAAGUAGUGUGAAUUGCAGAAUUCAGUGAAUCAUCGAAUCUUUGAACGCACAUUGCGCCCCUUGGUAUUCCAUGGGGCAUGCCUGUUCGAGCGUCAUUUGUACCCUCAAGCACUGCUUGGUGUUGGGUGUUUGUCCCGCUUUGCGCGUGGACUCGCCUUAAAGCAAUUGGCAGCCGGCAGAUUGGCCUGGAUCGCGAGCACAUUUUGCGACCUUGUCAUAACUGUUUGGCACCCAUCAAGACUAUUUUUUGCUCUUGACCUCGGAUCAGGUAGGGAUACCCGCUGAACUUAAGCAUAUCAAGCGGAGGA